CCUACGGGUGGCAGCAGUGAGGAAUAUUGGUCAAUGGACGAGAGUCUGAACCAGCCAAGUAGCGUGAAGGAUGACUGCCCUAUGGGUUGUAAACUUCUUUUAUAUGGGAAUAAAAUGUUCUUCGUGUGGGCUUUUGUAUGUACCAUAUGUAUAAGGAUCGGCUAACGCCGUGCCAGCAGCCGCGGUAAUACGGAGGAUCCGAGCGUUACCCGGAUUUAUUGGGUUUAAAGGGAGCGUAGGCGGAUUGUUAAGUCAGUUGUGAAAGUUUGCGGCUCAACCGGAGAAUUGUAGUUGAAACUGGCAGUCUUGAGUGCAGUAGAGGUGGGCGGAAUUCGUGGUGUAGCGGUGAAAUGCGUAGAUA
rnacentral:rRNA from 1 species